GGGCCGCGGUAUAUUAACCGUGCAAAGGUAGCAUAAUCACUAGUCUUUUAAUUGGGGGCUUGAAUGAAUGGUUGAACAAAUAAAUGACUGUCUUUUUUUUAAAAAUUUGAAUUUAACUUUUGAGUGAGAAGGCUUAAAUUAUUCAAGGGGACGAUAAGACCCUAUAAAUCAUUGUAUUGGGGUGAUAAGAGUAUAAGUUGUAACUGCUUUAAAUUUAUACUUAUAUUUUUGUAAUGAUCCUUUAUAAAGAUUAAAAGAUCAAGUUACUUUAGGGAUAACAGCGUUAUUUUUUUUGAGAGUUCUUAUCGAAAAAAAAGUUUGCGACCUCGAUGUUGAAUUAAAAUUUCUUUAUGGUGAAGCCGUUAUAAGARAAGGUCUGUUCGACCUUUAAAUUUUU
rnacentral:rRNA from 1 species